rnacentral:tRNA from 1 species
GGGGGUAGAGCUCAGUGGUAGAGCCCAUGAGUGGCACGCCUGAGGUCCUGGGUUCAAUCCCCAGUACCUCCA